rnacentral:rRNA from 1 species
AUUGAACGCUGGCGGCAGGCCUAACACAUGCAAGUCGAGCGGAUGAAGGGAGCUUGCUCCUGGAUUCAGCGGCGGACGGGUGAGUAAUGCCUAGGAAUCUGCCUGGUAGUGGGGGAUAACGUCCGGAAACGGGCGCUAAUACCGCAUACGUCCUGAGGGAGAAAGUGGGGGAUCUUCGGACCUCACGCUAUCAGAUGAGCCUAGGUCGGAUUAGCUAGUUGGUGGGGUAAAGGCCUACCAAGGCGACGAUCGGUAACUGGUCUGAGAGGAUGAUCAGUCACACUGGAACUGAGACACGGUCCAGACUCCUACGGGAGGCAGCAGUGGGGAAUAUUGGACAAUGGGCGAAAGCCUGAUCCAGCCAUGCCGCGUGUGUGAAGAAGGUCUUCGGAUUGUAAAGCACUUUAAGUUGGGAGGAAGGGCAGUAAGUUAAUACCUUGCUGUUUUGACGUUACCAACAGAAUAAGCACCGGCUAACUUCGUG